CCUCGGGGGGCUGCAGUGGGGAAUAUUGGACAAUGGGGGGAACCCUGAUCCAGCCAUGCCGCGUGUGUGAAGAAGGCCCUCGGGUUGUAAAGCACUUUCAGUGAGGAAGAACGCCUGGUGGUUAAUACCCAUCAGGAAAGACAUCACUCACAGAAGAAGCACCGGCUAACUCCGUGCCAGCAGCCGCGGUAAUACGGAGGGUGCGAGCGUUAAUCGGAAUUACUGGGCGUAAAGCGCGCGUAGGUGGCUUGAUAAGCCGGUUGUGAAAGCCCCGGGCUCAACCUGGGAACGGCAUCCGGAACUGUCAAGCUAGAGUGCAGGAGAGGAAGGUAGAAUUCCCGGUGUAGCGGUGAAAUGCGUAGAGAUCGGGAGGAAUACCAGUGGCGAAGGCGGCCUUCUGUACUGACACUGACACUGAGGUGCGAAAGCGUGGGUAGCAAACAGGAUUAGAUACCCGAGUAGUC
rnacentral:rRNA from 1 species